rnacentral:misc_RNA from 1 species
UCAGUCUUCCCAGGCCCACCACUUUCAUCGAGUGAGCAUUCGUCUUCUGGUUACGGGGCCAUAGCUCAGCUGGGAGAGCGCGUGCUUUGCAAGCAUGAGGUCGUCGGUUCGAUCCCGUCUGGCUCCACCAGAUGGUUUGAUCACCUGCGACUGACCGUCGUCCGCGAAACAUCACUUCGCAUUCACUAGUCUGGAUAGACAGUGAACUGCGUGUUUUCUGACAUCGUAAAGAGGAGAUCGAUCCGAGUUGGGUCGUGCAGCAGAUUGUUGCGCGGAUCCUUCAUUAUCUCCGGAUCAUUUUCGGCGCUCGCUUUCAGCCGUGAGGCUGAACGCGAGUUGUAAAAUGAUCCUUUUAGCGAAGCUUGACCGCCUCGCUAUCGGAACGAUCUUACGAAGCAAGCUGGUCUUUCUAGUCAAUGUCCGGCUGUGAGAAUAGCGCUCGUCGAGGGCGCGUGCCGCAAGGCGGUUCUUACAGGCAGCAUUCUGCCGAGUGUGUGGACAUUGAUAAUGAGAGCAAUCAAGUGCCUUAAGGGUGUUCGGUGGAUGCCUUGGCGCUGAGAGGCGAUGAAGGACGUGCUACGCUGCGAUAAGCCGUGGGGAGCUGCGAAGAAGCUUUGAUCCGCGGAUUUCCGAAUGGG